UUUCCGUGGGUGAACCUGCGGAAGGAUCAUUCAUAAUAAAGUGUUUUAUGGCACUUUUUAAAAAUCCAUAUCCUCCUUGUGUGCAAUGUUAGAUCUCGUCAAUCUUGGCGAGAUUUUUAUACAUCAACUCAUUCCUUAACUAAUUUGUCUGAAAAAUAUUAUGAAUACUUAAUUCAAAAUACAACUUUCAACAACGGAUCUCUUGGCUCUC
rnacentral:misc_RNA from 1 species